rnacentral:rRNA from 1 species
UAAGGAAUAUUGGUCAAUGGACGCAAGUCUGAACCAGCCAUGCCGCGUGGAGGAUGAAGGUCCUCUGGAUUGUAAACUUCUUUUAUUUGGGACGAAAAAGGAUCUUUCUAGAUCAACUGACGGUACCAGAUGAAUAAGCACCGGCUAACUCCGUGCCAGCAGCCGCGGUAAUACGGAGGGUGCAAGCGUUAUCCGGAUUCACUGGGUUUAAAGGGUGCGUAGGUGGGUCUGUAAGUCCGUGGUGAAAUCUCCGAGCUUAACUCGGAAACUGCCAUGGGUACUGCGUAUCUUGAAUGUUGUGGAGGUGAGCGGAAUAUGUCAUGUAGCGGUGAAAUGCUUAGAUAUGACAUAGAACACCAAUUGCGAAGGCAGCUCACUACACAAAUAUUGACGCUGAGGCACGAAAGCGUGGGGAUCAAACA